rnacentral:rRNA from 1 species
AUUGAACGCUGGCGGCAGGCCUAACACAUGCAAGUCGAGCGGAUGAAGGGAGCUUGCUCCUGGAUUCAGCGGCGGACGGGUGAGUAAUGCCUAGGAAUCUGCCUGGUAGUGGGGGAUAACGUCCGGAAACGGGCGCUAAUACCGCAUACGUCCUGAGGGAGAAAGUGGGGGAUCUUCGGACCUCACGCUAUCAGAUGAGCCUAGGUCGGAUUAGCUAGUUGGUGGGGUAAAGGCCUACCAAGGCGACGAUCCGUAACUGGUCUGAGAGGAUGAUCAGUCACACUGGAACUGAGACACGGUCCAGACUCCUACGGGAGGCAGCAGUGGGGAAUAUUGGACAAUGGGCGAAAGCCUGAUCCAGCCAUGCCGCGUGUGUGAAGAAGGUCUUCGGAUUGUAAAGCACUUUAAGUUGGGAGGAAGGGCAGUAAGUUAAUACCUUGCUGUUUUGACGUUACCACAGAAUAAGCACCGGCUAACUUCGUG